UUGCCUGUUUAUCAAAAACAUGUCUAUAUGAUUGAUAUAUAAAGUCUAGCCUGCCCACUGAUUAUAAUUGAAGGGCCGCGGUAUUUUGACCGUGCGAAGGUAGCAUAAUCAUUAGUCUUUUAAUUGAGGGCUUGUAUGAAUGGUUGGACAAAAAAUAAGCUGUCUCAGUUAUAAAAAUUGAAUUUAACUUUUAAGUGAAAAGGCUUAAAUAAUUUAGGGGGACGAUAAGACCCUAUAAAGCUUUACAAUUAUUUAAUUAAAUUAUAAAUUGUUAGUAUAAACUUAAUUUAAUUGAUGUUUGUUUCGUUGGGGCGACGAGAAUAUAAUUUAGUAACUGUUCUUUUGUAGUUUGUUACAAUAAUUUUUGGUAAAAAAUUGAUCCUUUAUUAAAGAUUAAAAGAUUAAGUUACUUUAGGGAUAACAGCGUAAUCUUCCUUGAAAGUUCAUAUCGACAGGAAGGGUUGCGACCUCGAUGUUGAAUUAAGAUUUCUCUAUGGCGCAGCAGUUAUAGUGAGAAGGUCUGUUCGACCUUUAAAUUCUUACGUGAUCUGAGUUCAGACCGGA
rnacentral:rRNA from 1 species